rnacentral:rRNA from 1 species
UACGUAGGGUGCAAGCGUUGUCCGGAAUUAUUGGGCGUAAAGAGCUCGUAGGCGGUCUGUCGCGUCUGGUGUGAAAAUCCAGGGCUUAACCCUGGACCUGCAUCGGGUACGGGCAGACUAGAGUGCGGCAGGGGAGAUCGGAAUUCCUGGUGUAGCGGUGAAAUGCGCAGAUAUCAGGAGGAACACCGGUGGCGAAGGCGGAUCUCUGGGCCGUAACUGACGCUGAGGAGCGAAAGCAUGGGGAGCGAACAGG